CCUCGCAGCGAAAUCGAAACUCCCGUCCGACUCAGCUGUCGUCACACUGAGCACGGCGCAUUGUCGGCGGCCAAUCUUCGCCCCAACUCCAGCCCGGCUACCUUCAUUGCCGCUGUGGCCGACCGCUCCGCGAGUUUCCAAUGACGGUGGUGUGGCGGUGUCUCCAAAGCGACGCGGAACAAUGCUAUUAACUAGCCGAUGUGCAAGCCUAGCGUCGCCAUCGGAACGCAGCUCAAAAGGGGCCUGUCGUGUCUACCUAUGUUCACAUCUAUGACUACAACUGCAAAACAGACCGGUUCCUGCUAAGAAUGCGAAGAAACUACUGCACAACAAAAUCCCAGUUCAAAUCACCACCGAUACGUGCAUAGCCCUAUUAUGCACAUAACGAUCUCCCCACCGAGAAUUGUGAUCCCCUCUCCCAAACCAGAUGUAUGUCAUAGUACCAAGACUGACCUGUGAGAAGC